UCUAAACGCUCUUAUAUUAGUUUACAGAGGGAGUACUUUUCACAGGAAAAAUAACAUCUACUCGUACCAAAGGGAACGCCCGGUGAAAAUCCUCCUCUCGCUCCAUCACUCUCCAGCCCCAUACCGCGCCCUUCUCCCGUGAGCUUCGCGCGAAAUCGACAUGGAUGACCACCGGUGCAGCAUGCCCACCCGGCGGAUCCGAGCACCUACUCCUCCUCCUCCUCCUCCUCCACCUCAUCCGCCCCCUCCCUGUGUCCUUCGAGCUCCACCCCCCGUUCUAUCGACACAAGGGUUGGAAGAUCUGAAAUUUGGGUGAAGUGAGGAGAUCUUGCAAGAAAUAGGCACCAACAAAAAAUGUGCUAGAGCUAGAUGGAAUCACAAAAUGAAGUCAUAUCUUAUUUGGCUCUUGAAAGAACAUGAUGGCACAAGACCUCAUGGCCGGUAAGUGUUUCAUGCAUGUAUGUGGAUCCUGUGAGGAUGGAUGUAUGCAUUGGCAUUUUUGUGGAUGAGAUGCUACCUUCUAAUGUAGGAUGUAUGAGAAAAACGAAUUCAUCUUCAUUUUCUGAUCGCCUACGGUAGUUUGGAUUCAUCGCUUGAAUGAGAAAUGUGAUGUUGAAAUGAACUCAGCAGUGAAGAAUGGCUGUGGGAAUGGUUGGCUGUGCGA